UCAUCCCAGCUGUGCAAGCUGAGGAACAAGUUUGUACCAGUUCCUGACACUGUGAUGUUUCAGAUCUUGAUUUGCCUGUGACUUCCUGAAUUUUUCAUCAAGAGUUUUGUUUACGGAGAUGUUUACAAUACACUGGAGCUUUGUCCUUUGUGAUAUGUUGCUGUCAUGUGCUGGGAUUAUGCUACGACUUUAGAGAAGCUGUAACUUUCCAAUUU
rnacentral:lncRNA from 1 species